ACAUUAAAUUCUGGAAACAAGGGAGCAGCCACCCACCUCUGAUAACUCAGCCCUGCACAGGAGUAAAAUGCUUCCAUGAUUUCCACGACAGAAAAAUCAUGCAAAAAAAUAAAGAAAUUAUCCCAGGUGUUAAUUCUUGGCACACAUGGAGCAGAUCAUUCCCCAACCACCAUGCAACAUUCAGCACAACAGACACAAAAUAUUAUUAUUUCGGCUUCUUCAGUCAUGCUACCACCUGGCAUCUGCUUCAGAGGAAAUAUUAACCACUCUGGAAAAGGAGAAUGUCUUUCUGGGAAGUACCUAGGUGAAAAUUGCUCUACGGCUUCUUUGUCCUGGCUUGGAAUAGCUCUUUCCAUUAAAUUCAGCACCAGUGAGACACCCCAUGGGAACUCUGCUUUACUUCUCUCUUCUAGAGCAAGUGAUAGCUUAGAACCUAAAAUAGAAAGCUUGUUAAAGACAGUGGUAACACAAUAAACAGCACUGUUUGUCACUGAGUGUUUUCUUUUGAGAUAUUUCACUUCAGGAUAAAUAUGACAAGCAGAUCAACAUAUUUUAAAACCUCAAAACUGUCAGUGAUAUGUUGAAGUAUUUCUCUCCCUCUCCUCAUACAACGUCAACAUAUUUUACCAUCCACACUCUUCAAAAUUCAAACAACAACCUUCAGGUUUUAUAUGAUCACUUGGUUUCAAUUUUCCUAGGAAUUAUUUGGUACAGACUGUGUAACACGAUGGUGUACAACAUAUUGCAUGGUAAAAUACAGCUCUUAGAAGGUAACAGGACAAAAAAAUCCACUAUUCCAGUCCCAACAGCUGCUGUGCUUAUUUGUAAAAAUGGGCACGUUCUUCCUUCUUUUGCAAUUCACACUGUCCAUUUCUGGAUCACUGCAAGUUAGAUGUCAGGAUCUUGGAAUUUCCUGUGUAGUAAUGAGUGCUGUCCCACUGAACAUGUUAAUGGUGCUAUCCAAGAGGGAAAAGCAAAUCAAAUAUUAACCAUUCCAUUAUGUCCUUGUGCAUAACAGUGAAGGGAAUAACUGUAAUUUAUCUGGCCAUGAGGAAAGGAAGCAUUCAGGAAGCAGCAUUUUUAUCCUUUGGAGCUGCUCCUCAGCCAACAAACGAGCAGAUCCAUCCCCAACCCCACAGACUCAGCUAAUGCUGAGGAGCCUCAGGAACCUCUUGCCUAUGUUGCACUGUGCUUUCCCAGGUCUGCAAUUCCACAUGCAAAGGUCAGGUCAGCACAAAACAACUGCAAUGUUUGCUGUUCAAUUCCUAUAAAUAUCCUACAAACAUGCCAGGGAUUAAAUCAGCCUCCUGUCAAAACCUCUCUGAAGGUUUCAUCCAAAUUAACCUUUGUUACCUUUGCUACUCUGAGUCCCCCCCGGAAAAUAGGAAGUUCCUGGGAAAGAGGCUCUCAAGCCAAGCACUCACUUAUUCCUGCAUCUUUCAGCAAUUUUAAAUUGCAAAUUUAAUCCUAUUACAGAUCUACCCCAGAGGUCUCGAUACGGGCAACAAUCCCCCAUUUAUUGCUACUAUUUAACUUCCUUAUAAUUUAGCCACAUCAUCUAAAUAUCCUCAGCUCAAGUCCAAGUAUCCAAUUAAACCCACAGAAAAGUAACAGUUAAACAUGGCACGAGAACAUUUUGUAUCAAGCAGAGGAUUAGUUUUAUUUCCAGGCAUGAGAAAUUUAAGGCCAGAUUUCUCAAGAAUACAAUUCAUUCGGAAAAAAGCAACAAAAAAUUGCCAUCAGCACGUGGUACCACUGCUUCUCCUCUCCUCACACAGUUUAUUGCACACAUUUUUGUCCAGUGCAAGCAGAACAGGGGUGAACAGCACAAUGACAGA